rnacentral:rRNA from 1 species
CUACGGGGCGCACCAGUGGGGAAUAUUGCACAAUGGGCGCAAGCCUGAUGCAGCAACGCCGCGUGAACGAAGAAGGUCUUCGGAUCGUAAAGUUCUUUUCUUAGGGAAGAAAAAUGACGGUACCUAAGGAAUAAGCACCGGCUAAAUACGUGCCAGCAGCCGCGGUAAUACGUAUGGUGCAAGCGUUAUCCGGAAUCACUGGGCGUAAAGGGAGCGUAGGCGGUUUUGCAAGUCAGAAGUGAAAGGCUACGGCUCAACCGUGGUAAGCUUUUGAAACUGCAAGACUAGAGUGCAGGAGAGGCAAGUGGAAUUCCUAGUGUAGAGGUGAAAUUCGUAGAUAUUAGGAGGAACACCAGUGGCGAAGGCGACUUGCUGGACUGUAACUGACGCUGAGGCUCGAAAGCGUGGGGAGCGAACAGGAUUAGAUACCCUAGUAGUC